GCAAAUACCAUCUGCUCUGAGAGUCAAACUGCAGGCCUGGAGCAGCAGCUUCUGCUGUUCUGUAUGCAGACAUCCAGGCACCACACCAAACAUCCAGGUACCACCCCAGACAUCCAGGCACCACACCAAACAUCCAGGUACCACCCCAGACAUCCAGGUACAACCCCAGACAUCCAGGUACCACUCCGGACAUCCAAGUACCACCUCGGACAUCCGGUACCACCCCAGACAUCCAGGCACCACACCAAACAUCCAGGUACCACCCCAGACAUCCAGGCACCACACCAAACAUCCAGGUACCACCCCAGACAUCCAGGUACAACCCCGGACAUCCAGGUACCACCCCAGACACCCAGGUACCACACCAAACAUCCAGGUACCACCCACCCAGUCCAGGUACCACCCCAGACAUCCAGGUACCACCCCAGACAUCCAGGUACAACCCCAGACAUCCAGGCACCACCCCAGACAUCCAGGUACCACACCAGACAUCCAGGCACCACUCUGGAUAUCCAGGUACCACCCCGGACAUUCAGAUACCACCCUGGACAUCCGGUACCACCCCGGACAUCCAGGUACCACCCCAGACACCCAGGUACCACCCCAGACAUCCAGGUACAACCCCAGACAUCCAGACACAACUCCAGACAUCCAGGUACAACCCCAGACAUCCAGGUACCACCCCAGACAUCCAGGUACCACCCCAGACAUCCAGGCACCACUUCAGACAUCCAGAUAUCUCUCUAGACAUCCAGGUACUGCUCUAGACAGACAUCCAGGUACCACACCAGA
rnacentral:lncRNA from 1 species